rnacentral:rRNA from 1 species
GCAAGGCUAAAACUCAAAGGAAUUGACGGGGCCCCGCACAAGCAGUGGAGCAUGUGGUUUAAUUCGAUGCUACGCGAAGAACCUUACCUGGGCUUGACAUCCUUGGAACCCCCUUGAAAGAGGGGGGUGCCUUCGGGAGCCAAGUGACAGGUGCUGCAUGGCUGUCGUCAGCUCGUGUCGUGAGAUGUUGGGUUAAGUCCCGCAACGAGCGCAACCCUCGUCGUUAGUUGCCAGCAUUAAGUUGGGGACUCUAGCGAGACCGCCGGACAAACCGGAGGAAGGUGAGGAUGACGUCAAGUCAGCAUGGCCUUUAUGCCCAGGGCUCCCCACAUGCUACAAUGGUCGGUACAACGGGAUGCAAAAGAUAAGAUCUCGAGCUAAUCCCUUAAAGACGGUCUCAGUUCCCAUUGCUAGGCUGCGAAACGCCUCCAUGAAGUUGAGAAUUGCUAGU